rnacentral:rRNA from 1 species
GCCCUUAGAGUUUGAUCAUGGCUCAGGACGAACGCUGGCGGCGUGCCUAAUACAUGCAAGUCGAGCGCAGGAAGCAAGCGGAUCCCUUCGGGGUGAAGCUUGUGGAAUGAGCGGCGGACGGGUGAGUAACACGUGGGCAACCUACCUUGUAGACUGGGAUAACUCCGGGAAACCGGAGCUAAUACGGGAUGAUCAACGGCAUCGCAUGAUGCCAUUGUAAAAGUGGGGAGUAAUCCUCACACUACGAGAUGGGCCCGCGGCGCAUUAGCUAGUUGGUAAGGUAAUGGCUUACCAAGGCGACGAUGCGUAGCCGACCUGAGAGGGUGAUCGGCCACACUGGAACUGAGACACGGUCCAGACUCCUACGGGAGGCAGCAGUAGGGAAUCAUCCGCAAUGGGCGAAAGCCUGACGGUGCAACGCCGCGUGAACGAUGAAGGUUUUCGGAUCGUAAAGUUCUGUUAUGAGGGAAGAACAAGUGCCGUUCAAAUAGGGCGGCACCUUGACGGUACCUCACGAGAAAGCCCCGGCUAACUACGUGCCAGCAGCCGCGGUAAUACGUAGGGGGCAAGCGUUGUCCGGAAUUAUUGGGCGUAAAGCGCUCGCAGGCGGUCUUUUAAGUCUGAUGUGAAAGCCCACGGCUCAACCGUGGAGGGUCAUUGGAAACUGGGAGACUUGAGUGUAGGAGAGGAAAGUGGAAUUCCACGUGUAGCGGUGAAAUGCGUAGAUAUGUGGAGGAACACCAGUGGCGAAGGCGACUUUCUGGCCUACAACUGACGCUGA